UCCCUGGUGGCUCAGAGGUUAAAGCGUCUGCCUCCAAAGCGUGAGACCCGGGUUUGAUUCCUGGGUCGGGAA
rnacentral:tRNA from 1 species